rnacentral:lncRNA from 13 species
CUGUGUUGUUGUUUUUGUCGCACUAAUUUGCUUUAUCUUGGCCAGGUCGCAGUUGUAAAUGAGAACUUGUUCUCAACUGGCCUACCUGGUCAAAUAAAUGUGAAAUAAAAUAAAAUAAAAAUAUAGAGGAGGUUCUAACUAGUUAUAAGUAUAGUGAGGAUCCUUCUUGUGAUUUCUAGUUAAUUGGAUCCUUGGUGAGGAGUGUCGUGUAAAUUCUACACAUGAAAGGGAAAGCAAGAGAGGCUGCAAGUUUCCUCAAACAACAAAGUUCUUUAUGAGUAAGAUUUGCAAAAAUUGAGCUGGUUAGCGGAGAACCAAAAGGUUGCACAGCUAAGAGCCCCCGAACACAUUCAGACUGUCAUUUAUAGCCAUCCUCAGUCUCUGUCUUUGCCAGAUAACCUAGAGCUGGCAACGAGCCAUAUGUCCUUAUAUGGUCCCUUAUGUUGGAGUUUCGCUAAGCGUGUCAUAGGCAUCUCAUACCUUUAGAAAACAAGAACCGUAUCCCAGAAAGGUCCACUUGAAGUCAACAGAAACCAGUUGUUUCCUGCUUUCUCAGGGCAUAGCACACAGCUAAGAUUAACAACAGAAAAAGAUGUAUGCCUAUAUAAAUCUUUCAGCGUGCAAUGUCAAAGUAAUAGAAUAUUCACAACAUUUCUCCCAUAGGAGGCGCUUGGGAGACGACCACCCGGUCGCCAUAUCCUGAGGUGACAGUGAGGUCCUCGCGGGUGGACAACCCGGCAGUGUCAGUUCUGGAGGAGUUACCUGGGAGUGUCCCUGACCUGAGGGAGGAGGCCAAGCACCACCAGCCAUGCCCGGUAGUACACAGCACACACCUGGACCAGGAGCUGGACACAGGUCAGCACAAGCAGAAACCCUGUCAUGACACCAUAAACCGGAAAACUUUAGCCAUAACUGUGUCAGGAGAGUAAAUAUCCAUUAUAACGCUAAAGCCUAAAUAACUUUAAACUUGAACAGUCUCCAACAAUAACCAUGAAUCCUACCUAAACACAGGCCCUAAG